AGAGUUUGAUCAUGGCUCAGGAUGAACGCUGGCGGCGUGCCUAACACAUGCAAGUCGAGCGAUCUUCUUCGGAAGAGAGCGGCGGACGGGUGAGUAACGCGUGGGUAACCUGCCUCAUACACAUGGAUAACAUACCGAAAGGUAUGCUAAUACAAGAUGAUAUAAGAGAUUCGCAUGGAUUUCUUAUCAAAGCUCCGGCGGUAUGAGAUGGACCCGCGUCUGAUUAGCUAGUUGGUAAGGUAACGGCUUACCAAGGCGACGAUCAGUAGCCGACCUGAGAGGGUGAUCGGCCACAUUGGAACUGAGACACGGUCCAAACUCCUACGGGAGGCAGCAGUGGGGAAUAUUGCACAAUGGGCGAAAGCCUGAUGCAGCAACGCCGCGUGAGCGAUGAAGGCCUUCGGGUCGUAAAGCUCUGUCCUCAAGGAAGAUAAUGACGGUACUUGAGGAGGAAGCCCCGGCUAACUACGUGCCAGCAGCCGCGGUAAUACGUAGGGGGCUAGCGUUAUCCGGAUUUACUGGGCGUAAAGGGUGCGUAGGUGGUUUCUUAAGUCAGGAGUGAAAGGCUACGGCUCAACCGUAGUAAGCUCUUGAAACUGGGAAACUUGAGUGCAGGAGAGGAAAGUGGAAUUCCUAGUGUAGCGGUGAAAUGCGUAGAUAUUAGGAGGAACACCAGUAGCGAAGGCGGCUUUCUGGACUGUAACUGACACUGAGGCACGAAAACGUGGGGAGCAAACAGGAUUAGAUACCCUGAUAGUCCACGCCGUAAACGAUGAGUACUAGGUGUCGGGGGUUACCCCCCUCGGUGCCGCAGCUAACGCAUUAAGUACUCCGCCUGGGGAGUACGCUCGCAAGAGUGAAACUCAAAGGAAUUGACGG
rnacentral:rRNA from 1 species